UACGUAGGGAGCAAGCGUUGUCCGGAAUCAUUGGGCGUAAAGCGCGCGUAGGUGGCCUCAUAAGUCCGUUGUGAAAGUCAAAGGCUCAACCUUUGAAAGCCGAUGGAUACUGUGAGACUAGAGUACGGAAGAGGCGAGUGGAAUUCCUGGUGUAGCGGUGGAAUGCGCAGAUAUCAGGAGGAACACCAGUGGCGAAGGCGGCGAUCUGGGAAGAUACUGACGCUGGAGGCGCGAAAGCUAGGGGAGCGAACGGG
rnacentral:rRNA from 1 species